rnacentral:lncRNA from 1 species
AAAUCCCCUAGGUUGGUCAGGCUCUGGUAAAACCUCAGUCAGUUAGGUUCUGAUGAAAUAUUUGCUUUUGAGGACCAUCCUUGUUAAAAAGAACAGAAUAUUCUGGGCAUAUUUCAAAAUAGCUACCCUUCCCCUCUCCUUGCAGGAAGCACAAGAGGAUUUCCCUCCAAUCACUGUGAGAAUUUGGUAGAGCUCCUAGAAGCAAAACUCACAAAAAUGUGAAAGCCCCUUUAAGACUGGGCUCCCACGAAUUUUUAACUGUCCGUACUAAAACAGUUCAUCCAUUACAGUUUAGGCUUUCCUACUUUUACUGUUUCCCAUGGGGGUUUCUGUUCAUGAGCUUUUGUUCCAGUAAUCUGUGAUUCUCUGAAUCUGCUAGUCUGUCUCUCCAAUUUUGGAAACAGUAGUAUGCCCUGCAACUUCCAUUCUCUGAUGGAUCUAAGAAGAGUUUUUGAUUUCCAGCUUGUUCAGCUUUUUUGUGUGUAGAUGGGAGCAACAUUUCUAAGCCCCUUAUAUGCUGGACUGGAAACUGAAAUUCCCCCUCCAGACAACUAUAUUCUAUAUUCCAGUCGGGAAGAAGUAUGGACGAAGGAACUGUGUGCCCUCCAAGAACAUAUUUCUUUUUAAUCAGUAAAACAAUAAUUUUCCCAGAAACUACGUAGACUUUCACUUACAUCUUGUUGGCCAGAACUAGGUCACGUCACUACCCUUGUUGCAAAGGAGGCUUAAAACAAUGCAAGCUAAUAGUGGAAAGUAAAGAAAGGAAUACAUCUAUAUGAUUAGGCAACAUGAUAACAGAGACUAAACAUAUGUGGAAAAAUUCUGGAACCCAUCUCUUCGAAUGCGCCUCUCUACAUUCUUUCCACCUAUGACAGAGAAUUCAUAAGACAAUAUUUUAUGUAUACAAAAUUUUAUAAAUACAGUCUAAAUCUUAGUAAAG